rnacentral:rRNA from 1 species
CGGGUGAGUAAUGUAUGGGGAUCUGCCUGAUGGCGGGGGAUAACUACUGGAAACGGUAGCUAAUACCGCAUAAUGUCUGCGGACCAAAGCGGGGGACCUCCGGGCCUCGCGCCAUCAGAUGAACCCAUAUGGGAUUAGCUAGUGGGUAAGGUAACGGCUUACCUAGGCGACGAUCCCUAGCUGGUCUGAGAGGAUGACCAGCCACACUGGAACUGAGACACGGUCCAG